rnacentral:lncRNA from 1 species
GAAAAAUCAAAUCAUUGACCUUGACAAGGACAUCCUCAACAACACCUUCGGGAUAUGCAGUAGACCUAUCAGCUAACUGAAUGAUAACACGAGUGUCUUUCAAAGGUCCUAAUUGCAAAUCCUUAUACACAGAAUAAGGCAUGACAUUUAUGGAUGCUCCUAAAUCUAGCAUGGCUCUCUCAACAGUCUUAUUACCUAUAAUGCAUGGAAUAGUGAACAUACCAGGAUCUCGACACUUUUGGGGCAAUUUUCUUUGCAGAACAGCAGAAACAUUCUCACUCACUCGAAUUCUCGCAUCAUUCCCAAACUUCAUUUUCUUAGAGCAUAACUCUUUUAAAAACUUUGCGUACCUGGGAACUUGCUUAAUUGCAUCAAGCAAGGGCAAGUUUAUUUCUACCUUCUUGAAGAUUUCCAGAAUAUCCUUCUCUUCUUCAAUUCUCUUGUUCUGAGCCAACCUAGAAGGAAAAGGUGGU